GGGGAAUAUUGGGCAAUGGGCGAAAGCCUGACCCAGCAACGCCGCGUGAAGGAAGAAGGCUUUCGGGUCGUAAACUUCUAUCCCGGGUGAAGAUAAUGACGGUAGCCCGGAAGGAAGCCCCGGCUAACUACGUGCCAGCAGCCGCGGUAAUACGUAGGGGGCAAGCGUUGUCCGGAAUGAUUGGGCGUAAAGGGCGCGUAGGCGGCCUUUUAAGUCCGAUGUGAAAUUCCUGUUUUUAAGGCAGGAAUUGCAUUGGAAACUGGAGGGCUUGAGUGCAGGAGAGGUAAGCGGAAUUCCCGGUGUAGCGGUGAAAUGCGUAGAGAUCGGGAGGAACACCAGUGGCGAAGGCGGCUUACUGGACUGUAACUGACGCUGAGGCGCGAAAGUGUGGGGAGCAAAC
rnacentral:rRNA from 1 species